GGCUGCCCCAGUGACAGGGAACUAAGGGCUCCUGUCCACGGACAGAGAUGUGAGCUUAGAAGUGGAUCCUUCCCAGCCUUCAGAUGACUGCAGUCCUGACCAACAUCUGGACCGCUAGCCACAGCCACGCAGCUAAGCUGCUGCUGGAUUCCUGACCCUUGGAAACUGUUCCUGAUGACCCAGAUGACCUGUACAGGAAGCUGGUGCCCUUCGGCACGGAGCUGUGAAUGUAGCUGGCCCAGGACCUGGAGGAGGAACGUGGUGGAAGCUGAAAGCACUGUGGGUCUGAGUGCUGCACCACACUAAUGAACUGGGACAGCAGAUUCACUUUGAAGAGAACUAGGUGUGUAUGAAAGUGACUCCUAAGCUUGUGGUCUUCAACUGUUUUGUCCACGAAAGAACUUUGGAAUAUAUGUAACCCCUCCUUACACAUCGAUUACUAAAAUGUAGUUCCCGUGUAAACAGCAGACGAACGAGCUACAGCCUCAACCAUAUCUUGAGGAUAGAUUCACAAAUCUCCUGUGAGAAUCCCUUCUCCAAGCAAAGGCAGGAAACCAAGUCUUGGACUUUGAUAUCCUUGUAGUUUUUGUUAUCCACUUCCUGCCGCUUUUGUUAUCAACUGACAGCCAUCACGAUUUUUUCUCUUCGUUCCCCUUAAAAUCCGCGAGCCACUUGGCCUGGCUGCGGGCACCCCCUUUUCUUUCUUUGGGAUGCCACGCCAUCUCCCUGCUCUCUUUCUCUC